rnacentral:tRNA from 1 species
GCCUGGCUGGCUCAGUUGGUAGAGCAUGUGGCUUUUCAUCUUGUGGCCAUGAGUUCGAGCCCCAUGUUGGGUG